rnacentral:rRNA from 1 species
GGGCAGGGGGGGGGCAGG